AGAAUGUGGGAGUCUGUGGCU
rnacentral:miRNA from 1 species